AUUGAACGCUGGCGGCAGGCUUAACACAUGCAAGUCGAGCGGGGGAAGGUAGCUUGCUACUGGACCUAGCGGCGGACGGGUGAGUAAUGCUUAGGAAUCUGCCUAUUAGUGGGGGACAACAUCUCGAAAGGGAUGCUAAUACCGCAUACGUCCUACGGGAGAAAGCAGGGGAUCUUCGGACCUUGCGCUAAUAGAUGAGCCUAAGUCGGAUUAGCUAGUUGGUGGGGUAAAGGCCUACCAAGGCGACGAUCUGUAGCGGGUCUGAGAGGAUGAUCCGCGACACUGGGACUGAGACACGGCCCAGACUCCUACGGGAGGCAGCAGUGGGAAAUAUUGGACAAUGGGGGGAACCCUGAUCCAGCCAUGCCGCGUGUGUGAAGAAGGCCUUAUGGUUGUAAAGCACUUUAAGCGAGGAGGAGGCUACUCUAGUUAAUACCUAGGGAUAGUGGACGUUACUCGCAGAAUAAGCACCGGCUAACUCUGUGCCAGCCGCCGCGGUAA
rnacentral:rRNA from 1 species